GAUGAACGCUGGCGGCGUGCCUAAUACAUGCAAGUCGAGCGAACGGACGAGAAGCUUGCUUCUCUGAUGUUAGCGGCGGACGGGUGAGUAACACGUAGAUAACCUACCUAUAAGACUGGGAUAACUUCGGGAAACCGGAGCUAAUACCGGAUGAUAUUUUGAACCGCAUGGUUCAAAAGUGAAAGACGGUCUUGCUGUCACUUAUAGAUGGAUCCGCGCUGCAUUAGCUAGUUGGUAAGGUAACGGCUUACCAAGGCAACGAUGCAUAGCCGACCUGAGAGGGUGAUCGGCCACACUGGAACUGAGACACGGUCCAGACUCCUACGGGAGGCAGCAGUAGGGAAUAUUCCACAAUGGGCGAAAGCCUGACGGAGCCACGCCGCGUGAGUGAUGAAGGUCUUCGGAUCGUAAAACUCUGUUAUUAGGGAAGAACAUAUGUGUAAGUAACUGUGCACAUCUUGACGGUACCUAAUCAGAAAGCCACGGCUAACUACGUG
rnacentral:rRNA from 1 species